rnacentral:rRNA from 1 species
UAUACGACCGUACCGCAAACCGACACUGGUGCGCGAGAUGAGUAUUCUAAGGCGCUUGAGAGAACUCAGGAGAAGGAACUCGGCAAAUUGACACCGUAACUUCGGAAGAAGGUGUGCCCUAUUAGUGUGUAGUGAACAACGAAGCAUGAAUGGGUUGCAAAAAAUCGGUGGCUGCGACUGUUUAUUAAAAACACAGCACUCCGCAAACACGAAAGUGGACGUAUAGGGUGUGACGCCUGCCCGGUGCUGGAAGAUUAAAUGAUGGGGUGCAAGCUCUUGAUUGAAGUCCCAGUAAACGGCGGCCGUAACAAUAACGGUCCUAAGGUAGCGAAAUUCCUUGUCGGGUAAGUUCCGACCUGCACGAAUGGCGUAACGAUGGCCACACUGUCUCCUCCUGAGACUCAGCGAAGUUGAGAUGUUUGUGAUGAUGCAAUCUCCCCGCGGAAAGACGGAAAGACCCCAUGAACCUUUACUGUAGCUUUGUAUUGGACUUUGAACAGAUCUGUGUAGGAUAGGUGGGAGGCUUUGAAGCAGGGUCGCUAGAUCUUGUGGAGCCAACGUUGAAAUACCACCCUGGUGUGUUUGAGGUUCUAACCUAGGUCCAUUAUCUGGAUCGGGGACAGUGCAUGGUAGGCAGUUUGACUGGGGCGGUCUCCUCCCAAAGCGUAACGGAGGAGUUCGAAGGUACGCUAGUUACGGUCGGACAUCGUGACGAUAGUGCAAUGGCAUAAGCGUGCUUAACUGCGAGACUGACAAGUCGAGCAGAUGCGAAAGCAGGACAUAGUGAUCCGGUGGUUCUGUAUGGAAGGGCCAUCGCUCAACGGAUAAAAGGUACUCUGGGGAUAACAGGCUGAUACCGCCCAAGAGUUCAUAUCGUCGGCGGUGUUUGGCACCUCGAUGUCGGCUCAUCUCAUCCUGGGGCUGUAGCCGGUCCCAAGGGUAUGGCUGUUCGCCAUUUAAAGAGGUACGUGAGCUGGGUUUAAAACGUCGUGAGACAGUUUGGUCCCUAUCUUCCGUGGGCGCUGCAGAUUUGAGGAAGCCUGCUCCUAGUACGAGAGGACCGGAGUGGACACACCUCUGGUGUAUCGGUUGUCACGCCAGUGGCAUUGCCGAGUAGCUAAGUGUGGAAGAGAUAACCGCUGAAAGCAUCUAAGCGGGAAACUCGUUUCAAGAUGAGAUCUGCCGGGGCCUUGAGCCCCCUAAAGAGUCGUUCAAGACCAGGACGUUGAUAGGUCAGGUGUGGAAGUG